rnacentral:lncRNA from 1 species
GGGAGGACUAUGAUGUGUUUUACAGCUUUGGGAUUUCUUCUUAACCUAUCUAGAGGCUGAAACCCAAGCAGAUGGUAAUGAAAAUACAAAACAAGCCUUUGGAGGACAAAUCAUUGUUUCACCCGAGGCUCUCUGCCUUUACCCUGAGGUUGGAAUAAGGGUUGCCUGACGUGGAAAACUAUUGAUCCUCCAGGACUGAUAGCAUUUCUUCCAGAGGACGUGGUAACCUGGCGUUGUGAGGGUGAAAGGAGAUCUCACAGAAAAGCAAAGCCUUUGUACAAAUGCAAGGGUAAAAACUGUUUCUGUGUUUGUAUCCUCAGCAUUCAGAAUAGUUCAGUGCACAUAAUGGAUUCUUGUUAAAUGUUUGCUGAAUUACUAUUACAUUGGACCUACACUUUAAUCCACCUCCUAAAGAGAAGUGAUGGA